GAUGAACGCUGGCGGCGUGCCUAAUACAUGCAAGUCGAGCGAACGGACGAGAAGCUUGCUUCUCUGAUGUUAGCGGCGGACGGGUGAGUAACACGUGGAUAACCUACCUAUAAGACUGGGAUAACUUCGGGAAACCAGAGCUAAUACCGGAUGAUAUUUUGAACCGCAUGGUUCAAAAGUGAAAGACGGUCUUGCUGUCACUUAUAGAUGGAUCCGCGCUGCAUUAGCUAGUUGGUAAGGUAACGGCUUACCAAGGCAACGAUGCAUAGCCGACCUGAGAGGGUGAUCGGCCACACUGGAACUGAGACACGGUCCAGACUCCUACGGGAGGCAGCAGUAGGGAAUCUUCCGCAAUGGGCGAAAGCCUGACGGAGCAACGCCGCGUGAGUGAUGAGGAUCUUCGGAUCGUAAAACUCUGUUAUUAGGGAAGAACAUAUGUGUAAGUAACUGUGCACAUCUUGACGGUACCUAAUCAGAAAGCCACGGCUAACUACGUG
rnacentral:rRNA from 1 species